rnacentral:rRNA from 1 species
CGCCGGCGACCGGCGCACGGGUGAGUAACACGUAUGCAACCUGGCCGUGACAGAUGGAUAACCGGGAGAAAUCCCGCCUAAUACAACAUAAUGCCGGGAGGGGACAUCCCCUGCCGGCCAAAGGGGGCGACCCCGGUCACGGAUGGGCAUGCGGCGCAUUAGGUAGUUGGUGGGGCAACGGCCCACCAAGCCGACGAUGCGUAGGGGUUCUGAGAGGAAGGUCCCCCACAUUGGAACUGAGACACGGUCCAAACUCCUACGGGAGGCAGCAG